rnacentral:rRNA from 1 species
AGAGUUUAUCCUGGCUCAGGAUUAACGCUGGCGGCGUGCAUAACACAUGCAAGUCGAACGAUGAAGAUUAUUAGACUUCUUCGGAAUGAAAAUAAUUGGAUUAGUGGCGGACGGGUGAGUAACGCGUGAGUAACCUGCCUUACACAAGGGGAUAGCCGUUGGAAACGACGAAUAAUACCCUAUGAAACUAUCACUUCGCAUGAAGCGAUAGUCAAAGUGUUAGCGGUGUAAGAUGGACUUGCGUCUGAUUAGCUAGUUGGUGAGAAAAAAGCCCACCAAGGCAACGAUCAGUAGCCGGCUUGAGAGAGUGUACGGCCACAUUGGGACUGAGACACGGCCCAGACUCCUACGGGAGGCAGCAGUGGGGAAUUUUGCACAAUGGGGGAAACCCUGAUGCAGCGACGCCGCGUGAUUUAGAAGGCCUUCGGGUUGUAAAAAUCUUUUGUAUAGGAAGAAAAUGACAGUACUAUACGAAUAAGGUCCGGCUAAUUACGUGCCAGCAGCCGCGGUAAUACGUAAGGACCGAGCGUUGUCCGGAAUCAUUGGGCGUAAAGGGUACGUAGGCGGGUCAUUAAGUUAGAAGUCAAAGGCUAUAGCUCAACUAUAGUAAGCUUCUAAAACUGGAGACCUUGAGUAAUGGAAGGGAAAGUGGAAUUCCUAGUGUAGCGGUGGAAUGCGCAGAUAUUAGGAGGAAUACCGGUGGCGAAGGCGACUUUCUGGCCAUUAACUGACGCUGAGGUACGAAAGCGUGGGUAGCAAACAGGAUUAGAUACCCUGGUAGUCCACGCCGUAAACGAUGAGUGUUAGUGUCUGGAGUAAAUCUGGGUGCCGCAGCUAACGCAUUAAACACUCCGCCUGGGGAGUACGCACGCAAGUGUGAAACUCAAAGGAAUUGACGG